rnacentral:ncRNA from 1 species
ACACGUCUUCAGGGCGGGGUGAAAGUCCCCACCGGCGGUAUGUGACACCUCACGCAGCGCGAGCUGCGUGCGUCACGAGCCCGCGAGCGCCUGCCAUCGUUGCUUUCGCGACACCGGCAGGGUCAGCAGAUCUGGUGCGAAGCCAGAGCCGACGGUCAUAGUCCGGAUGAGAGAAGAUGCGU